UAGACCUGCCACUUUUACAAUGAACUGCAUGUCAUACAUAUGGGACCCUGCCAGCACCCUGCAGAAUACCAUAAAUACCUCGGAGCAUCCUGAGACAGCGACCUCUGCCAUAAACAGCGAGCAGGAGGGGGGUGACACAGUGGGGGAUAGUCCAGCUAUGCUGGGACCUGUUUGAGACUCUACUGCAGUCUAGUCAGUCCCACCAGCCGAGCACUGAUGAGCCCAGUGAAGGGGAAGAAACCUGGGCUGCUGCUGUUGCGGCCUUGAGGGGUGCUCCCUCUUCACUUGCAAAACACCUGACCCUGAUGAGGAAGAGAAAGAAGAGGACUAGGGAAGAUAUGUUCAGCGAGAUCAUGCAAGCCAGUG